rnacentral:tRNA from 1 species
GGGGUUGUAGCUCAGUUGGUAGAGUGCUUGUCUAGCACACACAAAGUCCUGGGUUCGAUCCCCAACACUA